UGAUGCUGUACAGCUGUGAGGUUGAACAGGUUCAUCAGGUUGUAAUACAACAGGUGUGGCCAUGUGGUCACUGGUUAGUUAAAAUGUCUUCAGCUUUUACUGUGCCCUGAACCUUGGCCUGAACUUUAGCUCUUUCUCAGCUAACUCCUUAAAAUACAAUAGUAGAUUGUGGAGAAUGUGCUGUCUUGGGAAAAUGGAGGAGUAGAUGGUAAUGUGAUUAAUAGACUGUAUAGUCACAUGCAUGGUUAUAAGAUUAGUGCUAGCUUUACUAUAGUGCUGAUCUUGAUAAAAGACAAAAUCAGAUGAUCAUUUCUUCUUCUAUUGGAUUGCUCUAUUCUUUGCUGGAAUUAAAUAAA